rnacentral:misc_RNA from 1 species
AAGGGUUAUCUGUACUGAAAAAAGCUCAACAUUUUCCAUUUGAAAUAUGCAUACAAUGCUGGAACGUGCGUCACUGAUGAUGUCAUUGCAUGUAUGACGCAACUAAAAUAUGUUAGGGUAGUAACAGUUGUAGAGUAGACAGUGAAGAGUUUGUGAUUUUGUCUUGAUCUCAUUGUUUAAAACUUUUGAUAACUAAAUUUUUUCUUCAAUUACGCAUUUAUAUUAAUAUGCAGUUGUUAUCAUUUAAAAGUUUGUAUUACGGUAGACCUCCAAAUUGCGUCGCAGACCUCCAAAUUGCGUCGCAGACCUCCACAUUGCGUCGCAGACCUCCACAUUGCGUCCCAGACCUCCACAUUGCGUCACGAACCUCCACAUUGCAUCACGAGAUGCAUUUUUUUUUGUAUUUUGUAAGGCAUAAAGUUGUUUAUCCCCGAGAAACAUGUAUAAAUCAUUCUAUUGCAAUUGAUCCAUUUUCCUUAUUUUUUGGCACAAUGAAGAGAGCAAUAUUUUAACCAUAAUUCAAUUGCCCGCUGCAGGAAGCAUAAUAUCAACGAAAUAUUAAGUAUUGUUUUGUUGUAUGUUUAAAUUGAUGCGUAUGUUGAUUACUGUAACAAUAUGGCUGACAAUCACUUCAUGUGUUAUACACUGUAAAUAUGUUUGAGACUGCUUGACUUUCUCCCUUUUUUUUUGUUUUACAGUUUUUGUUUUGUUUAGUGAACAAGAAUUGGUUUCAGUUGAAAAUAAAAGUGAAAUCUU